ACGAACGCUGGCGGCAUGCCUAACACAUGCAAGUCGAACGGACCGCUCGGGGGUAACUCCGGACGGUUAGUGGCGGACGGGUGAGUAACGCGUGGGAACCUGCCCGAAAGUGGGGAACAACCGCUGGAAACGGCGGCUAAUACCGCAUGAUCCCUUCGGGGAAACCCGAAGGGCAAAGGCCGCAAGGUCGCUUUCGGAGGGGCCCGCGUCCGAUUAGCUUGUUGGCGGGGUAACGGCCCACCAAGGCGUCGAUCGGUAGCUGGUCUGAGAGGAUGAUCAGCCACACUGGGACUGAGACACGGCCCAGACUCCUACGGGAGGCAGCAGUGGGGAAUAUUGGACAAUGGGGGAAACCCUGAUCCAGCGAUGCCGCGUGAGUGAUGAAGGCCUUAGGGUUGUAAAGCUCUUUCGCCCGUGAGGAUGAUGACGGAAGCGGGAGAAGAAGCCCCGGCUAACUCCGU
rnacentral:rRNA from 1 species